AGGAGUUUGAAUCCUGGCUCAGAGUGAACGCUGGCGGCGUGGAUUAGGCAUGCAAGUCGCGCGAACCCGCAAGGGUUAGCGGCAAACGGGUUAGGAACACGUAAAUAAUCUUCCUCUUAUUCAGAAAUAGCCCUAAGAGAUUAGGGGUAAUGUCCGAUGGUACGGUCAGGUUGCAUAACUUGACCUUUAAAGGCGGGGACCGCAAGGCCUGUCGAUAAGAGAUGAGUUUGCGUAGCAUCAGCUAGUUGGUAGGGUAAUGGCCUACCAAGGCUAAGACGCUUAGCUGGUCUGAGAGGACGAUCAGCAACACUGGGACUGAGACACUGCCCAGACUCCUACGGGAGGCUGCAGUCGAGGAUAUUUAGCAAUGGACGAAAGUCUGACUAUGCGACGCCGCGUGAGGGAUGAAGGAUUUCGGUUCGUAAACCUCUUUUGGCAGGGAAGAAAAAGUAGACUCUAAUAGGAUCUACACUGACGGUACCUGCAGAAUAAGCCACGGCUAACUCCGUGCCAGCAGCCGCGGUAAUACGGAGGUGGCAAGCGUUACUCGGAAUUAUUGGGUGUAAAGGGCAAGUAGGCGGCUUAGUGUGUGGGUGGUGAAAUACUCCGGCUCAAUCGGAGAACAGCCUUCCAAACUGCUAGGCUUGAGUAC
rnacentral:rRNA from 1 species